rnacentral:rRNA from 1 species
UACAGAGGUCUCAAGCGUUGUUCGGAUUCAUUGGGCGUAAAGGGUGCGUAGGUGGCGAGGUAAGUUGGAUGUGAAAUCCCGGGGCUCAACCCCGGAACUGCAUUCAAUACUGCCUUGCUAGAGUACUGGAGAGGAGAUUGGAAUUUCCGGUGUAGCGGUGAAAUGCGUAGAGAUCGGAAGGAACGUCAAUGGCGAAGGCAGCCACCUGGCAUCAUACUGACGCUGAGGCGCGAAAGCGUGGGUAGCGAACAGG